GAGACAGCAGCAGCCGCGGGAAUACAGAGGGUGCGAGCGUUAAUCGGAUUUACUGGGCGUAAAGCGUGCGUAGGCGGCUUCUUAAGUCGGAUGUGAAAUCCCUGAGCUUAACUUAGGAAUUGCAUUCGAUACUGGGAAGCUAGAGUAUGGGAGAGGAUGGUAGAAUUCCAGGUGUAGCGGUGAAAUGCGUAGAGAUCUGGAGGAAUACCGAUGGCGAAGGCAGCCAUCUGGCCUAAUACUGACGCUGAGGUACGAAAGCAUGGGGAGCAAACAGGAUUAGAGACCCCAGUAGUCCCUGUCUCUUAUAC
rnacentral:rRNA from 1 species